rnacentral:snoRNA from 13 species
CGGGGAAAUGAUGAGGGUUCCAGAGCUGAAGCGUGAUGAAUGGUUGACACGCUGACCCCGC